ACAGCAGUAGCCACGGUAAUACGUAGGUGGCAAGCGUUGUCCGGAAUUAUUGGGCGUAAAGGGCUCGCAGGCGGUUUCUUAAGUCUGAUGUGAAAGCCCCCGGCUCAACCGGGGAGGGUCAUUGGAAACUGGGAAACUUGGGUGCAGAAGAGGAGAGUGGAAUUCCACGUGUAGCGGUGAAAUGCGUAGAGAUGUGGAGGAACACCAGUGGCGAAGGCGACUCUCUGGUCUGUAACUGACGCUGAGGAGCGAAAGCGUGGGGAGCGAACAGGAUUAGAUACCCCAGUAGUCCCUGUCUCUUAUAC
rnacentral:rRNA from 1 species